rnacentral:rRNA from 1 species
GACGAACGCUGGCGGCGUGCCUAAUACAUGCAAGUUGAGCGCUGAAGGUUGGUACUUGUUCCAACUGGAUGAGCAGCGAACGGGUGAGUAACGCGUGGGGAAUCUGCCUUUGAGCGGGGGACAACAUUUGGAAACGAAUGCUAAUACCGCAUAAAAACUUUAAACACAAGUUUUAAGUUUGAAAGAUGCAAUUGCAUCACUCAAAGAUGAUCCCGCGUUGUAUUAGCUAGUUGGUGAGGUAAAGGCUCACCAAGGCGAUGAUACAUAGCCGACCUGAGAGGGUGAUCGGCCACAUUGGGACUGAGACACGGCCCAAACUCCUACGGGAGGCAGCAGUAGGGAAUCUUCGGCAAUGGACGAAAGUCUGACCGAGCAACGCCGCGUGAGGGAAGAAGGUUUUCGGAUCGUAAAACUCUGUUGGUAGAGAAGAACGUUGGUGAGAGUGGAAAGCUCAUCAAGUGACGGUAACUACCCAGAAAGGGACGGCUAACUACGUG